rnacentral:lncRNA from 1 species
AUAAUUAUCAUCCCUAGCUCUUAGUAGCCUUUGUCAUCAGUCAGUCUCAAAGUACUUUACAAAUGAGGUAUCGUGGGGAAACUGAGUCACAGGGAGGGUAAGGGACUUGUCCAUGGUCACCCAGAAGGCCAGUGGCAGAGUUGGGAAUAGAACACAAGUCUCCUGAGGCUCUGUCUAGAGGCUUUAUCCUCUCAUGAAUGACAAGCCAAAAUACAGAGAUUCUGUGUAGUACAGACUGUGUCACCAUGUGGUAGGGAUGGAGUAAUUGUGUAGUAGGGAUUGAGUAACUGUGUAGUAAGUUCCCCAGAAUGCAGCUCCUGGCCAGUAACAUGUUAUGCCCCAUGGUGUCUUGGCAGAUCACACAGAUACACACAGGCAUUGUGCAGGUAGCUUUCAGCAUCAUCUUCACCCUGGCGAAAUGAGCACCAGCUAAUAGCGAUACAUGUGGGGACCUCCUUUUGGACAGGGAUCCUGGGUUCAUUUGUGUGGAAGCUGCCAAGAACCCCAAGAUUUCACUGGUGAAGGCCAUGCUGGCUACGAAUACCCUCAGUGCCAUAGUGGACGGAGUGAGCAUCGUCCUCUAUUCGCUCUCGCUUAUCUUCUACUACCCGCACGGAACCUGCCAGUGGAUCGAGGAGUCCAAGUCCUGCG